UACGGAGGGUGCGAGCGUUGUCCGGAAUCACUGGGCGUAAAGGGCUCGUAGGCGGUUUGUCGCGUCGGGAGUGAAAUCCACUGGCUUAACUGGUGGCUUGCUUUCGAUACGGGCAGACUGGAGGUAUGCAGGGGAGAACGGAAUUCCUGGUGUAGCGGUGAAAUGCGCAGAUAUCAGGAGGAACACCGGUGGCGAAGGCGGUUCUCUGGGCAUUACCUGACGCUGAGGAGCGAAAGUGUGGGGAGCGAACAGG
rnacentral:rRNA from 1 species